rnacentral:lncRNA from 1 species
AGAGAACAUAUAUAAUAACAGAGUGUAUAGAGAUAAAUGUCACAUAACAUCAGAGUAAUUAUUACAUAGCGGAAGACUUAUUACAAAAUAAAGGAAUAACCAUAAAACGAACUAAGGAUCGUCGGCGCCAAUGUCGACUGAGAAACGCCACCUAGAUCAAGUCGAAUGCCUCAGUGUUAGGCGGCUCCUCUUCGACCACCUGUUCUUCUCCUGUGGGGGGGUGUGUGAGACAGCAAGAGUGAGCUCACAUACGUUCAUAGCUCAACAAGUCGUGGGGAAUAAGGUGGCAUGAACUCACCAAAGGUGGGAGUUCAUGUAGUGUAAGGUUGAUCAAUGAAAUAAAGACUGAGGCUGAGCAUUGCUUUUAUAAGUUGGUCAAAAUUUUAUUAGCAAUUACUAAGUGUAAGUAAAUACCAAACCUUAAUAAUAAUAAAGAACAGUAAUAGUAAAAUAAUCCCAAAUGCGAUGCAAAUGUCAAAUUAAAUUUAAGUUCCAUAAUUAAUCAUGUGAGGGUCCGAGCCGCUCAUGACCGUGAGCACGGCUAGUAUACUAGUUUUACACUCUGCAGAGGUCGCACAUCUUUACCCACAAGUCAUGUUACCCAUCUGCCAAGAGAUGGCCAAUCCCUUACACCUCUACCGAGGAGGCGAGGCAGGGUAACACUACGAGGCCUUUACAAAGUUCUACUAGCUUCAGAAAUCCCGCUACAGUUUAUAGGAAGCUCCAGUGCAGGGUUCUUGCCUGACCGCCAUCGCAGCAAAAUCAACCCAAGGACCUCCCUACACUGACCACUCCCCUACUGCCCUUGCCCCUUUCGGGUAAGGAAGAUAUCCACUAGCUUUCCUAGUUAAUCAGCCAAGGGCGUCCCAUUAUACCCUUGUGGUAGCACUGUUUUCCCGGGUGGUCGCUCCAUGUUCCCAUUAACAUAAUGAUCUUAACAUGCAUAGUAAUAAUAAACAGAUAAUAAAGAUGUAGUUAUGAAUAAAGUAUCUUCAUACCCAAAUCCACAUAAAGCAAUAGCAGGUACUACCCAAAGAAAUAUUUCAGUGGUAAACAAGGUAUAAAGAUAGCCAAAACUAGGGUAACCUAUUAGGUCCCAUCAAAAUUAACCUAUGCAGAUCAUUAUAAUUAACAAGAACAUGGCUGGGAAAAGUAAGUGAUCAAGGGCACAACUUGCCUGGCACUUGAGAUCCAGUUACCAGGGUGAACUUCAGGUGACUUGAAACCUCGCGCUAGUCGUAGCAAUACAAACAAAAUGGUAUAGAUAAAAUUAACAUCACACCAAACAUAAGAAUAUACUACAUAAUAAUAAUCUACGCGCUUGUACGAGACUAACGCGACUUGAACGGAUCAAAUCGGAGUUAAAACGAAGGAGAUACGAAUUUCCUAAGGUUUUAUGUAUUUGAUACAAGGUUAAUUAAGAAAUAAAUUUUAAUACCAUUUUCAUGUUAAAAUAGAGACACAGGGCGAUAAACAACAUUAUUACAAAAUUAUAGAAACUGAAAUGGAUUAAUUUGGACUACAUAUGAAUUUUGUAUGAAUUAAACCAAUUCUAGCAUUUAUUUCUACAUUAAAAAUCCAAUUCUAUAUUUGUUUUCUGAUUUUUCUGGCUCUCUGAACUGGGCACACUAAUACAGAGAAGUUCAGGGGUCCCGGUGUAAAUUUUUCCCAGACACAGCUUAACCCACUGAUGGAUGGCGAGCUGAAUAUGAAGCACCCCGAGGACUCUUAUGCAAGAUGCGCUGGCUGAAGGGGUACGGUGCAGAUCUAGCCGUCCGAUUAGAAAUGGAGGGCUCAGAUUAGAUCUAGGUUUCGCAUGAACCGGUAUGAAGCAGCUACCACCAGAUCAGGAAUCAACGGCCGCAAAUCGACCACGCUACCAGAUACUGCCUGCCAUCAGAUCGAUAACAUACAGCACUGAUUUAAUCUCGCGAAUGGAUACACUCUCUUCUAAUCGCACCCGUCCGAAUUGGAUCGGACGGUAACCAUACCUUCUCCUUUCACUAGCCAGCCCGAGGCGGCGCCAGGAGCUCUCCACGGCGGAGACUCACCGGCGCACCGCCAAAUUCGCCUGUUCUGGCGACAUCGUUCUCACCGUGGUGCGAAAAAAAUGAAAUUGAAGCAAGUUCAAUUACAAAGGGGGUGCCUCACCGGAGGGUUAAGCGAUGGCCGAGCGGGUUCACGACGGAGGGUAACUUGGCGUAGUUUCACACCUCCGGCGAACAAUCUCCACUACUCCCACGGCGCCCCGCGUGCGCGAGUCCCUUCACCAGCACCCAUCUCGGCCACCCUCCCAGUCACCAAGGUCCCGCUCGAUGUGGCCGGCCACGCCUUCGCGGCGGCGCUUUCCCCCUACUCUCUGUUUAGCGGUGGCGAGUCCAUGGACACGGAGCUCUCGGGGACUGGUUCAAAGGAAGGUAGGGGCACGGUCACAAGCGAUUAGAGGCUUAUAGCGGAGGAAGGACGGGCUUGCGGGGUUGGCCGCAACGGCCACAACGAGCUCCAAGGCGGCAACUGAGGCAUGCAACCGGAUGCCCGAGGAUACGGUUGACCCCCAACAACCGCAACGACGGGACCGCAGGGAAAUCGUGGCUCAUGCGGACGCCAAAGUGCGGCACCGAGUCCCUUACCGAGACAGCGGGAGAAGAAGAGGGAGAUGAUAGACUCGACCGGUGGGUCCCAUCCCGAAGCCUUCCUGCGCGCGGCGAGUGGCACCAGGUAGCGACUAAGACGGACGAUCUGCGCGCCUACUUGACCGGAUAAGAAGGGAGGUAGAGGAUCUGACUAGUGGAUCCCAGUAGCCAGCUGGGUGCUUCCUCAACAGACCAUGCCGAAUCCCGCGGGCGUGCGCGGCGGAGUCCAGUCCUUGCGGCAUGGUGAAGGAGACGCACCUGACUGCGAUACCCCACCAGCCGGUGAGAGUGAUACGAGCAUGCGCGUCAGAAGAGCCUGACCAGUGGGCCAUCGGCCAAAGAUCGUGUGUACGUGAGGGAGCUGGGCUACACCGUAUUUGGCGUAUGAGUCUGGUACAGCCGUGAACUAGAAGAUUUUGGUGAAUUCAGACCCAUACGCAGCGACCAAGACCCAUACGCAGCACGUUCGUGAGGACUUCUGGUGGCUUGCAUGCUGAGCUCAUCAUGAUGAAAGGGGUGACACAAGCUCCGGCAAUGAGAAUAAAGAAUUGGUAAAAAAAACUACAUGUGAUGGCACUCGAUCAUGGAGUGGGCUGCACGAAGGGCUGGGCCGCCAACUGCAUUAUGGUAAGCUUCUCUUGUUUUUUUAUUUUGUUUUUUCUUUCUUUUUCUAAUAUUUAUUUAUUUAUAUUUUUUUCAACUCAAACUCAAUUUCAAGUAUAAGUUUUACGACUGUAAGAUUAUAUGCACAAGCAAUAAAACUUCAGCAUGAUGCAUAGCUUAUUGGUGUGCUUUUAUCUAAUUUGUUUUUACUUUAAACAUGACUAUUCUUAUGAUAUAAUGAGUAGAUAGCCAAACAAGUAACGAGAUCAACUCCUUUCUUAUGUUCUACAAUUUGGGUAUUACAAAUCCUACCCCCCUUAAAACAAAUCUCGUCCUCGAGAUUUAGGAAGAACUAGGGAAAAGAUGGGGAAAAUCUAUGUGAAGCUCUUUUUCUCUCUCUCAAGUUGCUUCAUCUUCGCCAUGAUGGCUCCAUUGCACUUUACCCAUAUUUAUCACCUUAUUUCUUGUAACUCUAGCCAAAGUAUGAAGAAUCUCGAUCGGAUACUCCGUGUAAGUCAAAUCACCCUGAACACUGAGCUCUUCCAUUGGUAACUGUUCCUUAGGGACACGGAGACACUUGUUAAGUUGAGACCCAUGAAAUACAUUAUGCACAUCAGAUAGAUUAUCAAGUAGCUCGAGUUGAUAGGCCAUCUCUCCAACUCUCCUAAAAACUCUGAAUGAUCCAAUAAAGCGAGGGGACAAUUUGCCCUUAACAUUGAAUCUCCUCAUUCCACAAAGUGGUGACACCUUGAGGUACACAUGAUCUCCUUCCUCAACUCCAGUGGUUUUCUUCUACUACCAGCGUAGAUCUUUUGCCUGGUUUGAGCUACCCUCAAGUUCUCCCUGAUUAUACAGACUUGUUCUUCUGCCUCUUGAAUAAGUUCAGGUCCAAAGAACUGUCUUCCUCUAGUCUGAUCCAAUAUAGAGGUGUCCUGCAUUUCCUGUCAUACAGAGUCUCGAACGGUGACAUCUUCAGACUGGCCUGUUAACUAUUAUUAUAUGAGAACUCAGCAUAAGGUAGACUCUUGUCCCAACUACUACCAUGUUGAAGGGCACAAGCGCUCAACAUGUCUUCUAAUACUUGAUUAGUCCUUUCAGUCUGUACAUUAGUCUGAGGAUGGUAGGCCGAACUAAAAUUCAACUUCGUAUCCAUAUUCUCAUGAAAACUUUUCCAAAAUCUGGAGGUAAACUGUGAUCCUCUAUCUGAAAUGAUCUUCUUUGGUACACCGUGCAGAGACACAAUCCGAGCCAUAUAUAAUUCUACCAAUUGAGAUACCUUAUAAGUAGUCUUGACCGGAAUGAAACGAGCCACUUUGGUCAGUCUAUCCACAAUCACCCAUAUCGAAUCAUAUCCUUUCGGGGUGCGAGGCAAUCCAGUAAUAAAAUCCAUACCAAUCUCUUUCCACUUCCACUCGGAAUCUUAAGUGGGUGCAGUAAUCCAGCUGGCCUCUGGUGUUUAGCCCUAACUCUUUGACACACAUCGCACAUAGCCACAUGUGCAGCCACAUCUCUCUUCUAUCCAUACCACCAGUGCUUCUGCUUCAAAUCCUGAUACAUCUUGAUACUCCUAGGAUAAAUAGAAUAAUUCGAGUCAUGGGCCUCCUUUAAAAUAGUCUCACGAAGGCUUUCAAUCUCCGGAACACAUAUCCGAUUCGUGAACCAUAUUGUGCCUUGCUCAUCGUCCGUGAAUUCUGGACCUCGUCCUUUAGUAAUUAGAUGCUUGAUCUCUUGUAUCCUAGCAUCGCCAGUUUGUCCUUUGCGGAUUUCUUGCUCCAAGGUAGGUUCCACAUCAUUAAUAACUCCUUUAGUGUGAGCAACUAUCCCCAGGUUAAGUCUCCUGAAAUCCUCAAUAAUCUCAUCAAGUAGCUGGGCAACAACAGCUGAAUGAACAUGCUCCUUUCGACUCAAGGCAUCUGCAACCAAAUUUGCCUUGCUUGGGCGAUAGUGAAUCUCCAAAUCACAAUCCUUAAUAAGCUCCAACCAACGGCGUUGCCUAAGGUUGAGAUCCUUCUGAGUGAAUAUAUACUUCAAACUCUUAUGAUCCGUGUAUACUUGACACUCGGUUCCAAUUAUAAUGUCUCCAAAUCUUAAGCGCAUGCACAACAGCAGCCAAUUCCAAGUCAUGAGUGGGGUAGUUUAACUCUUGUUUCUGCAACUGACGAGAUGCAUAGGCAAUCACAUGUCCUUCUUGCAUGAGCACACAUCCAAGUCCUUGGCCACAUGCAUCACAGUAAGUGUCAAAUCCCUUCUGCAGAUCUGGCAUAAUCAAUACUGGUGGUGACAUCAAUCUCUUCUUUAAUUGAUCAAAGCUAUCUUGGCACUUCUCAUCACACUUAAAUUCUCUUCCCUUCUCCAGAAGCGAGGUCAUAGGCUUAAGAAUCUUAGAAAAUCCUUCAAUAAAUCUUCGAUAGUAUCCUACAAGUCCCAAGAAACUCCGAAUCUCCGUAACUGUAGUGGGCACUCUCCACUCCAUAAUCUCCUUCACUUUAGCAGGAUCCACUGCUAUUCCUCCAUUAGAAAUAAUAUGUCCAAGGAAUGGCACCUUGUCAAUCCAAAACUCGCACUUGCUGAACUUUGCAUAGAGUUGAUUAUCUCGCAGCUUUUGUAGCACCAACCUCAGGUGUUGUUCAUGAUCACUUUCACUCUUAGAAUAGAUAAGGAUAUCAUCGAUGAACACCACGACGAAUCUGUCCAAAUACUCCAUAAGCACCCUAUUCAUCAAGUUCAUGAAAUAAGCUGGUGCAUUGGUUAAUCCAAAUGACAUAACAGUAAACUCAUAUAAUCCAUAUCGAGUCGAGAAAUCCGUCUUGGGGAUAUCUGAUGGCCUAAUCUUCAUUUAAUGGUAACCCGAUCGGAGAUCAAUCUUUGAGAAUACCUUUGCACCUCUCAUUUGAUCGAAUAAAUCCUCAAUACGGGGUAACAGAUACUUGUUCUUCACAGUAACAUCAUUAAGUGAUCUAUAAUCCACACACAUCCGUUGUGAUCCAUCCUUCUUCUGUACAAACAGAACUGGUGCUCCCCAAGGUGAGGAACUCGGACGAAUGUACCCAGUCUCUUGUAAUUCCGUUAACUGCUUCUUCAGUCCCUUUAACUCUUCUACAGACAUCCUGUAUGGGCGUUUGAAAGUAGGGGCAGUUCCAGGUAAGAGAUCAAUAACAAACUCAACUUCUCUAUAUGGUGGCAUCCCUGGUAACUCUUCUGGGAAGAUAUCCGAAAAAAUCUCUAACCACACAGAUGUUGACUCCAACAAACUUCCCAUCUACUAAGAAUGCCGCUAGUCUGGUGGCGGUAGUUACUGCAAUUCAACCUUCAAAUCUUUGUCCUUUGGAACUGGUGAGUUCAAUGGUUCCUUUAGCACAGUGUAUAAACUACCUUUGCCUUUCUUAACCAUGACAUAACAAGGAUCACGUCUAUAGUGUUCUCUUCUAACACUAUAGGGGUAGCCCAUCUGGGUUAGAAACACAGGGUAAGAAAGGAAGAUUUGUAGACAAGGCGAGUAAUUACGAGGAAUGUUACUGCGGGGGAUUUAUUAGCUAAGUAGAUUAGCGUGUCACAUACUAACGCUAAUACAUUACCUUAUGGUGGUACAUGCUAAGAUGUCCGUCUAUACUAUUUCAAUCAAUCAAAGAAGCAAAUCAUGCAUUGAUCAUCAGAACAAUCAACCAACAUUUUUAAAUAGAGAAAAUUGUUUUGUUUUAGGUUCCCUAUCUCUUAAAAAGAUCAUAGUUGUUGGAUUCCAAGGUGUGAAAUCCAUCUUGUCUCGGAGUAGAAGAGAUAAGAGUAAUCAGAGUGAAACAACAAAAGGUGAGAUAGGAUCAAGAUGAGAUAAGUAUAGAAAGAAUCAGGGUAAGGUAAGUAUAGAAUGAAUCAGAAUAAGAUAAGUAGGUAAGAGUUUGUCCAUUUCUAUCUAGGUAUCGUCCUACAGUCAACAUUUCCUCUGAUACCACUUCUGUAACACCCGGUUUUAAAGGACAAAGCCGGGUGCAUCUCAUACAUGCGCCAAGAAGACAACAUAUAUAAUAACAGAGUGUAUAGAGAUAAAUGUCACAUAACAUCAGAGUAAUUAUUACAUAGCGGAAGACUUAUUACAAAAUAAAGGAAUAACCAUAAAACGAACUAAGGAUCGUCGGCGCCAAUGUCGACUGAGAAACGCCACCUAGAUCAAGUCGAAUGCCUCAGUGUUAGGCGGCUCCUCUUCGACCACCUGUUCUUCUCCUGUUGGGGGGUGUGUGAGACAGCAAGAGUGAGCUCACAUACGUUCAUAGCUCAACAAGUCGUGGGGAAUAAGGUGGCAUGAACUCACCAAAGGUGGGAGUUCAUGUAGUGUAAGGCUGAUCAAUGAAAUAAAGGCUGAGGCUGAGCAUUGCUUUUAUAAGUUGGUCAAAAUUUUAUUAGCAAUUACUAAGUGUAAGUAAAUACCAAACCUUAAUAAUAAUAAAGAACAGUAAUAGUAAAAUAAUCCCAAAUGCGAUGCAAAUGUCAAAUUAAAUUUAAGUUCCAUAAUUAAUCAUGUGAGGGUCCGAGCCGCUCAUGACCGUGAGCACGGCUAGUAUACUAGUUUUACACUCUGCAGAGGUUGCGCAUCUUUACCCACAAGUCAUGUUACCCAUCUGCCAAGAUAUGGCCAAUCCCUUACACCUCUACCGAGGAGGCGAGGCAGGGUAACACUACGAGGCCUUUACAAAGUUCCACUAGCUUCAGAAAUCCCGCUACAGUUUAUAGGAAGCUCCAGUGCAGGGUUCUUGCCUGACCGCCAUCGUAGCAAAAUCAACCCAAGGACCUCCCUACACUGACCACUCCCCUACUGCCCUUGCCCCUUUCGGGUAAGGAAGACAUCCACUAGCUUUCCUAGUUAAUCAGCCAAGGGCGUCCCAUUAUACCCUUGUGGUAGCACUGUUUUCCUGGGUGGUCGCUCCAUGUUCCUAUUAACAUAAUGAUCUUAACAUGCAUAGUAAUAAUAAACAGAUAAUAAAGAUGUAGUUAUGAAUAAAGUAUCUUCAUACCCAAAUCCACAUAAAGCAAUAGCAGGUACUACCCAAAGAAAUAUUUCAGUGGUAAACAAGGUAUAAAGAUAGCCAAAACUAGGGUAACCUAUUAGGUCCCAUCAAAAUUAACCUAUGCAGAUCAUUAUAAUUAACAAGAACAUGGCUGGGAAAAGUAAGUGAUCAAGGGCACAACUUGCCUGACACUUGAGAUCCAGUUACCAGGGUGAACUUCAGGUGACUUGAAACCUCGCGCUAGUCGUAGCAAUACAAACAAAAUGGUAUAGAUAAAAUUAACAUCACACCAAACAUAAGAAUAUACUACAUAAUAAUGAUCUACGCGCUUGUACGAGACUAACGCGACUUGAACGGAUCAAAUCGGAGUUAAAACGAAGGAGAUACGAAUUUCCUAAGGUUUUAUGUAUUUGAUACAAGGUUAAUUAAGAAAUAAAUUUUAAUACCAUUUUCAUGUUAAAAUAGAGACACAGGGUGAUAAACAACAUUAUUACAAAAUUAUAGAAACUGAAAUGGAUUAAUUUGGACUACAUAUGAAUUUUGUAUGAAUUAAACCAAUUCUAGCAUUUAUUUCUACAUUAAAAAUCCAAUUCUAUAUUUGUUUUCUGAUUUUUCUGGCUCUCUGAACUGGGCGCACUAAUACAGAGAAGUUCAGGGGUCCCGGUGUAAAUUUUUCCCAGACACAGCUUAACCCACUGAUGGAUGGCGAGCUGAAUAUGAAGCACCCCGAGGACUCUUAUGCAAGAUGCGCUGGCUGAAGGGGUACGGUGCAGAUCUAGCCGUCCGAUUAGAAAUGGAGGGCUCAGAUUAGAUCUAGGUUUCGCAUGAACCGGUAUGAAGCAGCUACCACCAGAUCAGGAAUCAACGGCCGCAAAUCGACCACGCUACCAGAUACUGCCUGCCAUCAGAUCGAUAACAUACAGCACUGAUUUAAUCUCGCGAAUGGAUACGCUCUCUUCUAAUCGCACCCGUCCGAAUUGGAUCGGACGGUAACCAUACCUUCUCCUUUCACUAGCCAGCCCGAGGCGGCGCCAGGAGCUCUCCACGGCGGAGACUCACCGGCGCACCGCCAAAUUCGCCUGUUCUGGCGACAUCGUUCUCACCGUGGUGCGAAAAAAAACGAAAUUGAAGCAAGUUCAAUUACAAAGGGGGUGCCUCACCGGAGGGUUAAGCGAUGGCCGAGCGGGUUCACGACGGAGGGUAACUUGGCGUAGUUUCACACCUCCGGCGAACAAUCUCCACUACUCCCACGGCGCCCCGCGUGCGCGAGUCCCUUCACCAGCACCCAUCUCGGCCACCCUCCCAGUCACCAAGGUCCCGCUCGAUGUGGCCGGCCACGCCUUCGCGGCGGCGCUUUCCCCCUACUCUCUGUUUAGCGGUGGCGAGUCCAUGGACACGGAGCUCUCGGGGACUGGUUCAAAGGAAGGUAGGGGCACGGUCACAAGCGAUUAGAGGCUUAUAGCGGAGGAAGGACGGGCUUGCGGGGUUGGCCGCAACGGCCACAACGAGCUCCAAGGCGGCAACUGCGGCAUGCAACCGGAUGCCCGAGGAUACGGUUGACCCCCAACAACCGCAACGACGGGACCGCAGGGAAAUCGUGGCUCAUGCGGACGCCAAAGUGCGGCACCGAGUCCCUUACCGAGACAGCGGGAGAAGAAGAGGGAGAUGAUAGACUCGACCGGUGGGUCCCAUCCCGAAGCCUUCCUGCGCGCGGCGAGUGGCACCAGGUAGCGACUAAGACGGACGAUCUGCGCGCCUGCUUGACCGGAUAAGAAGGGAGGUAGAGGAUCUGACUAGUGGAUCCCAGUAGCCAGCAGGGUGCUUCCUCAACAGACCAUGCCGAAUCCCGCGGGCGUGCGCGGCGGAGUCCAGUCCUUGCGGCAUGGUGAAGGAGACGCACCUGACUGCGAUACCCCACCAGCCGGUGAGAGUGAUACGAGCAUGCGCGUCAGAAGAGCCUGACCAGUGGGCCAUCGGCCAAAGAUCGUGUGUACGUGAGGGAGCU